UUCAGGUUUGGGGAAAUGCCCUCAGCCACCUACAGAUGAUUCAACCCUGGGACAUGCUGGCAUUGGCUUCCGGCAGACAAUGCUACAUAUA